rnacentral:rRNA from 1 species
AAAAGUGAAAGACGGUCUUGCUGUCACUUAUAGAUGGAUCCGCGCUGCAUUAGCUAGUUGGUAAGGUAACGGCUUACCAAGGCAACGAUGCAUAGCCGACCUGAGAGGGUGAUCGGCCACACUGGAACUGAGACACGGUCCAGACUCCUACGGGAGGCAGCAGUAGGGAAUCUUCCGCAAUGGGCGAAAGCCUGACGGAGCAACGCCGCGUGAGUGAUGAAGGUCUUCGGAUCGUAAAACUCUGUUAUUAGGGAAGAACAUAUGUGUAAGUAACUGUGCACAUCUUGACGGUACCUAAUCAGAAAGCCACGGCUAACUACGUGCCAGCAGCCGCGGUAAUACGUAGGUGGCAAGCGUUAUCCGGAAUUAUUGGGCGUAAAGCGCGCGUAGGCGGUUUUUUAAGUCUGAUGUGAAAGCCCACGGCUCAACCGUGGAGGGUCAUUGGAAACUGGAAAACUUGAGUGCAGAAGAGGAAAGUGGAAUUCCAUGUGUAGCGGUGAAAUGCGCAGAGAUAUGGAGGAACACCAGUGGCGAAGGCGACUUUCUGGUCUGUAACUGACGCUGAUGUGCGAAAGCGUGGGGAUCAAACAGGAUUAGAUACCCUGGUAGUCCACGCCGUAAACGAUGAGUGCUAAGUGUUAGGGGGUUUCCGCCCCUUAGUGCUGCAGCUAACGCAUUAAGCACUCCGCCUGGGGAGUACGACCGCAAGGUUGAAACUC